GAUUCCAAUUCAAAACCAUACCAGUUUGUCGGCCAGACGAUCCUCAACGGACUGAGCGGUGGAGAAAGUUAUCGGUGAAGAGCAAGCCAAUUUUUAAGAGGAUGGUGAUUGAGAGUAAACCAACAGUUAACUAUAUCAUAGGAGAUGGGGUUGGGAUUUGUCCAUGAUGUCGCCGUUGAGAUUGGAAUUCCUGCUAUUCAGAUGC
rnacentral:misc_RNA from 1 species